rnacentral:rRNA from 1 species
UUAAGCGACUAAGCGUACACGGUGGAUGCCCUGGCAGUCAGAGGCGAUGAAGGACGUGCUAAUCUGCGAUAAGCGUCGGUAAGGUGAUAUGAACCGUUAUAACCGGCGAUUUCCGAAUGGGGAAACCCAGUGUGUUUCGACACACUAUCAUUAACUGAAUCCAUAGGUUAAUGAGGCGAACCGGGGGAACUGAAACAUCUAAGUACCCCGAGGAAAAGAAAUCAACCGAGAUUCCCCCAGUAGCGGCGAGCGAACGGGGAGCAGCCCAGAGCCUGAAUCAGUGUGUGUGUUAGUGGAAGCGUCUGGAAAGGCGNGCGAUACAGGGUGACAGCCCCGUACACAAAAAUGCACAUGCUGUGAGCUCGAUGAGUAGGGCGGGACACGUGGUAUCCUGUCUGAAUAUGGGGGGACCAUCCUCCAAGGCUAAAUACUCCUGACUGACCGAUAGUGAACCAGUACCGUGAGGGAAAGGCGAAAAGAACCCCGGCGAGGGGAGUGAAAAAGAACCUGAAACCGUGUACGUACAAGCAGUGGGAGCACGCUUAGGCGUGUGACUGCGUACCUUUUGUAUAAUGGGUCAGCGACUUAUAUUCUGUAGCAAGGUUAACCGAAUAGGGGAGCCGAAGGGAAACCGAGUCUUAACUGGGCGUUAAGUUGCAGGGUAUAGACCCGAAACCCGGUGAUCUAGCCAUGGGCAGGUUGAAGGUUGGGUAACACUAACUGGAGGACCGAACCGACUAAUGUUGAAAAAUUAGCGGAUGACUUGUGGCUGGGGGUGAAAGGCCAAUCAAACCGGGAGAUAGCUGGUUCUCCCCGAAAGCUAUUUAGGUAGCGCCUCGUGAAUUCAUCUCCGGGGGUAGAGCACUGUUUCGGCAAGGGGGUCAUCCCGACUUACCAACCCGAUGCAAACUGCGAAUACCGGAGAAUGUUAUCACGGGAGACACACGGCGGGUGCUAACGUCCGUCGUGAAGAGGGAAACAACCCAGACCGCCAGCUAAGGUCCCAAAGUCAUGGUUAAGUGGGAAACGAUGUGGGAAGGCCCAGACAGCCAGGAUGUUGGCUUAGAAGCAGCCAUCAUUUAAAGAAAGCGUAAUAGCUCACUGGUCGAGUCGGCCUGCGCGGAAGAUGUAACGGGGCUAAACCAUGCACCGAAGCUGCGGCAGCGACGCUUAUGCGUUGUUGGGUAGGGGAGCGUUCUGUAAGCCUGCGAAGGUGUGCUGUGAGGCAUGCUGGAGGUAUCAGAAGUGCGAAUGCUGACAUAAGUAACGAUAAAGCGGGUGAAAAGCCCGCUCGCCGGAAGACCAAGGGUUCCUGUCCAACGUUAAUCGGGGCAGGGUGAGUCGACCCCUAAGGCGAGGCCGAAAGGCGUAGUCGAUGGGAAACAGGUUAAUAUUCCUGUACUUGGUGUUACUGCGAAGGGGGGACGGAGAAGGCUAUGUUGGCCGGGCGACGGUUGUCCCGGUUUAAGCGUGUAGGCUGGUUUUCCAGGCAAAUCCGGAAAAUCAAGGCUGAGGUGUGAUGACGAGGCACUACGGUGCUGAAGCAACAAAUGCCCUGCUUCCAGGAAAAGCCUCUAAGCAUCAGGUAACAUCAAAUCGUACCCCAAACCGACACAGGUGGUCAGGUAGAGAAUACCAAGGCGCUUGAGAGAACUCGGGUGAAGGAACUAGGCAAAAUGGUGCCGUAACUUCGGGAGAAGGCACGCUGAUAUGUAGGUGAAGUCCCUCGCGGAUGGAGCUGAAAUCAGUCGAAGAUACCAGCUGGCUGCAACUGUUUAUUAAAAACACAGCACUGUGCAAACACGAAAGUGGACGUAUACGGUGUGACGCCUGCCCGGUGCCGGAAGGUUAAUUGAUGGGGUUAGCCGCAAGGCGAAGCUCUUGAUCGAAGCCCCGGUAAACGGCGGCCGUAACUAUAACGGUCCUAAGGUAGCGAAAUUCCUUGUCGGGUAAGUUCCGACCUGCACGAAUGGCGUAAUGAUGGCCAGGCUGUCUCCACCCGAGACUCAGUGAAAUUGAACUCGCUGUGAAGAUGCAGUGUACCCGCGGCAAGACGGAAAGACCCCGUGAACCUUUACUAUAGCUUGACACUGAACAUUGAGCCUUGAUGUGUAGGAUAGGUGGGAGGCUUUGAAGUGUGGACGCCAGUCUGCAUGGAGCCGACCUUGAAAUACCACCCUUUAAUGUUUGAUGUUCUAACGUUGACCCGUAAUCCGGGUUGCGGACAGUGUCUGGUGGGUAGUUUGACUGGGGCGGUCUCCUCCUAAAGAGUAACGGAGGAGCACGAAGGUUGGCUAAUCCUGGUCGGACAUCAGGAGGUUAGUGCAAUGGCAUAAGCCAGCUUGACUGCGAGCGUGACGGCGCGAGCAGGUGCGAAAGCAGGUCAUAGUGAUCCGGUGGUUCUGAAUGGAAGGGCCAUCGCUCAACGGAUAAAAGGUACUCCGGGGAUAACAGGCUGAUACCGCCCAAGAGUUCAUAUCGACGGCGGUGUUUGGCACCUCGAUGUCGGCUCAUCACAUCCUGGGGCUGAAGUAGGUCCCAAGGGUAUGGCUGUUCGCCAUUUAAAGUGGUACGCGAGCUGGGUUUAGAACGUCGUGAGACAGUUCGGUCCCUAUCUGCCGUGGGCGCUGGAGAACUGAGGGGGGCUGCUCCUAGUACGAGAGGACCGGAGUGGACGCAUCACUGGUGUUCGGGUUGUCAUGCCAAUGGCACUGCCCGGUAGCUAAAUGCGGAAGAGAUAAGUGCUGAAAGCAUCUAAGCACGAAACUUGCCCCGAGAUGAGUUCUCCCUGAC